AUGCAACUCAUCUUCUAAUUCCUUUUUAUUUGGAUAGUAAACUGGCACAACUGGGGAAUCCCGAAUGUGAAAGUUCCAGGCUUCCUUGCAAUAAGUAAAAACUACAAAUCCAUCUCCCGCACCCAUCAUCGCAUUACAUAGCCCAAUCACCAUCUGUCCCAACUUGAGACUUCCCCUCACUUAUACGCAAAAUGACAUGACCUUGAAUUAG